rnacentral:rRNA from 1 species
UACGUAGGGUGCGAGCGUUAAUCGGAAUUACUGGGCGUAAAGCGUGCGCAGGCGGUUUUGUAAGACAGUUUUGAAAUCCCCGGGCUCAACCUGGGAAUUGCAUCUGUGACUGCAUAGCUAGAGUACGGUAGAGGGGGAUGGAAUUCCGCGUGUAGCAGUGAAAUGCGUAGAUAUGCGGAGGAACACCGAUGGCGAAGGCAAUCCCCUGGACCUGUACUGACGCUCAUGCACGAAAGCGUGGGGAGCAAACAGG